GUUACACCUGAUAUUUGUACAGAAGUUUCGAUAUCUACGACCCGUCUAGGCAUAUCUACCCAUCGGCUAUAUUGACAACUAUUCCACCACAGUUUCAACGAACACAGAGAAUCGGAAUUGGAACUACGUUUCACUUUGCCUGAUUUGCACCUUCGUCAAUCGAUACCAUACACCUCGCCACCCUUGCGGUAAUCGGCAUUAGCGUAGACCGUGCCGUUUACACGUACAAUUGCACACACGACACUUCCGCGGUCGCGGUACCUUGAUGUCUCGUGUCCCAUGGCAUGCAGGCCGUCGACCAAAGACUUGGGAACACCGUACUCGUAGGAUACCUCCAUAGGAAUGAGCUGGUGAUGGAUCCGCGCCGCGUCAACUGCCUCUUUAAUCGUCUCUUUGAUCCACAGGUGCCUCGCGAUCACCUGCACCGUCAAGAACAUCUGAUUCAACGUUUACAUCCCAAUGACAACCUCAUGCGAUACCCUAGAGGAAGUUUCCCGCGUAUCUGAAUAACAAGUUCGGACUCACGUAUGCAACCGCUGUGGUGAUUUUUGUCCCGCCUGCAGCUCCCACCACCAUUCGAACGUCGCCAUGCGCGUCGACGAUUAUGCUAGGCGACAUCGAAGAGAGCGGCCUUUUACCAGGCUCGAUUCGGUUGUUGUGGCUAGCCGGAAGCCCGAAGUAGCUUCUUCGCGACGACACACCAAAAUCGUCCAUGCUGCUGCUUGUCAGGAUCCCGGUUCGCUCACUUACGACACCGCUACCAAAACUGGAGGAACGGCAAUGACCAGAUUAGGUGAACAAUGCUGGGGUGUUCGGUGGAAAUUCAAUUGCUCUACUAAGAGUUGCGUUGGUUGACGCUGCUCGUCACGGACACGGCGUCACCGUCAGGGGCUAAUAUUGCUACGUGAGCAGUACCAUGAUCUCCGUUGUUACCCGGCGCGUGUUCCCCAUAAUGACGAGGAUCGUUCGAAGUUCUGUGAUCAUUUAUUCGUCGUCUCACCUCGUCAGCAAAAUUUCUGGAGUUGAUAAGUCAACGUAGGUGGGGUCUGCAAGUUCGGUACGCAAAGCGUACGCGUACUUGAAAGCCUCGAUGAUACGGUGAUGGGUCGUCAAAGUCGCCUGUGGGGUCGCCAUGCUUGAGGGACUGAAAUCGUAUCCAUCGAGGACGUUGAGAAUGAAGGCGAGGAUCGAACCGCUUCCGGGUGGUCCAAUAGUGUAAAGCGUUUCUCCAGUAGAAAGCCUCGUCGUUAUCGGUGAUAUCCAUUUGGCCCUGAUACGUAAAUCCUGAGGAUCAGCUAUGGCCUCGCUGUUCAUGCCGAGCGAGUCGUAUUGGACUUUGGUCAGAUUGUAGCCGGCCUCGCAGAUCUUGAUACUUGGCUCGAAGAGCUCGGCCCAAGGCAGCCGGCCGAAGCGUUGAUGGACGGUCCAGUAUCCGGCCAAUUCUCCGGGAACGGGUAUAGCCAGAGGACCUGGAUGUUACGGACGCAAGAAAAAUUCAAGGAUAGUUUCCAGGACAAGCAAAAUUCAAUGAUACUUCCAGGACCACUGGACACUACGUUCCAUAAUCGUCACCAAGCAUUCGUCAAAUAAUGCGGACGCAUUGCUGUCCAUCGACGCAAACCGCGCCACGUCGAAAAACUCUAAGCUUACUCCACGAAGGAGGCUGUUGAUCCAGUGGAUCAGGAGGAUGGAGUGUCGCGGUCUUUGGUGUCUGGAUUAGAGCUCGGUUCGCCCGGUUUCUUUGCCCCCGUAACGUCUUCCCCCCGCUGAUCGUAAUUUGCCAAUAACGAUAUCACGACUCAAGGGAUGUGGUGGGUAGGUAAUACGAGGUACGUAAGGAGGAUCCAGGGAUAGCUGUGAGGUGCACACGCGGUCGACUGUGUGAUAUAUUGAUUCGCGGUACCGAAUUGGACGAAUCGACCCUGUCUUCUUCACCAGCCAUACCAAUGCCCUACUUUUAUCACCGUAUACAUACGGAUGAAUGUAUUUACCAUAGGAAUCGCUGUCUGAUGACAAAAACAGUGAACAGCAAAAAGAUGAAAGGAUUUUGCUGACCGUUGUUCAUUUUCCUGGGGUUUACCACCGAACGCGAUAAAUUUGGCACUGAAACCUCGAUGUCUGCAGUUAUACAAUAAAAUAUUUUCGGACGUGUAAACCGUACAUUAGUUUCGAAAAGUACAUUUUCACGAUCAAAUCAUGCCUGCGUACUUCUGUUCACGUUACGAUGGGAUAUUAAGCUUCGACUCUUUGGCUAAUCACUUCCGUCGAGCUUUAUCAUCAGGAUUUCGUGGCUGUGGCCUUGGAUAAUUGAAACCUGCACACGUAGGGGAAUUGCUUUGUUAAUGUGCGCCUGGGUCUAUAUUCGGAUAACAAACGUAUAAACGUAUAUAUUUGGAACCCUGAAAUAUCGCGGAUUAGUGAAUAAUUGAUCUGCCGAGCUGGACGGGUCAGGGCUCGUAUUCCUCUGCGUGGUAUACAUAUCUCCCUGUCUAAAAUAGCUAGUUAAUGAUAGCAGGUGAAUUAAUUAGCGAACUAAGGAUACGAUAUUACUAAUGGUAAAUUACAUAUUGCAGAAUUGAGUGUAAAACGACGAGAAGAACGAAGAUAUUCUACGCAAUUUGCAGCCGGGUACCCUGUGAAUCCGAUCGCUCUGGAACUGGAAUAAAAAGCACCCGAGUUUGUCUGACGCCCGAUCGUCUGGCCAAGUCGCCCGGCUUCUCCCUUGCACAUGCACCCUGGAUAAGUUAUAUAUCGCACUGCAUUCAGAGCAUUGCGAUAUCCCAGCAAUGAUCUUACGUGCACAUGCGGUAAUGUCUCGUGUUUAAAUGUCCGUAUGUGUUCGAUAACAUUUGGCUACCGCAUUUGUUGUUGGUCGAUGGGUAUACCUAUACGUCAACUUUCGCCUAACAGAAUUUGGAGGCAAUGCUCCCUGAAUUCACUAUAUAUAUAUAUAUAUAUAUAUAUAUAUAUAUUUAGGAAGGGAGAAGCUCACGUGCCUGUGAUUGAGCACCAAAAUUGUUGCGUGAUUUAUAAGGAAUUUCCUUGGGUUCGACUUCCCAGGGGAUGCUCAUUCAAAAAGGGGCACCUGAGAGUGAUGAUCCCGUAUAGGCCGAUUUCCGUAGAAACAGUUAUUACUUCACAUAUCUUAGUAACUUCUUGAAAAUUUAUUACAGGUAUUUUCUAACUUGGGAAUUCCACUAAAAAAUGAUUAAUAAAACAGGCGACUUCAAACAUUGCUGGUCUACUUUUGGUGUACGAUUAUUUUCAGCGCUUUAGUUAUUGACAAUAAUUGCAUACGAUUCAGUUUUGAGCAAUAGAGCUUGACAAUUGAGAAUUUCGCUACUGUCGUAGUAACGAAAUUCAAUGAGAUACUUUGAAUAUGGAAAGUUCAGUCAAGCAUCAGAAUGAUUGAUAUGAGAGCUCUAAAUAAGUCUAUAAUGCCAAUUCAAAGUUAUAUGUUAUUGAAUUCGAUUCGAAUAUUGUCUUAUAAUUUCAUCGAAAUCUGACCGUAUCAAAAAUUUUAUCAUAAUUCAGUUAUUAAACGAUAUACCUUAUAUUAAGCUGAUAUCUCAUAUAAAAAAUCACAGUGAAAUAUAUAAUAAAUUACCUAAUAAAGGUGAAGCUGAUUUAUUUCAUAACUGCGUACGAUUUAUCACAU